ensembl:lncRNA
UGCUUUGAAAAUUCAUUUAUUUUAAGAGAGAAAAUACAUCCAGGAACGUAGAUUGAUUCAAAAGUAAUACUUGCUGUUUAUUUCCAUAGAAACUGCAACAAAUACAAAGAGCACAAUAACACUAUUUCAUAGAGAAAAUUCUCAAAUACAAACUUUAUUUUGCUGCAUAUUCACUGUCAUUAGCUAUGCAUUUUUGCCAACGAUGAACGAGAACCUGCUUGCUGUUCUUGUAAAAAUUUGCACCGGUGGAGGUGAACCACUGCCACUAUCACUGCUGUUGAAACACAUUACCCACAACCUCACUGAGCUCACAUCCACUGUUUGAUCUCCAUAAAUGUUCAGCAAGCAUCAGUGAAAGUCAAUGGAUGCAAUUUUUUUACCACAUGGAGGAAUUCAGUUCCACAUCUUUUCUUCUCAGAUGCUUCCGUGUCAGAAGCCAUUUUGUCAGACUGACCCUCUGCUGCCAUCUGUCACACAGCAACAAAAUGUAGUGGAAUACUGGUGUGAAGGUUCAACCUCUCCUGAUGUACCACCAAAAUCCACCUCUGACAUUGCACACCAACAUAAUAAAACAGGAGGCAUUACUUUCAGAGCAGCACUUGUACAAAGUUAGCAAAGAAACCAAAUAUAAGCCUUGCAGUACAUAGGGAUAUAACUUUUGGCCAGACUGAGUAUUUUGAAAUAAGCAGUUUUUAAAAAGUAAUAUAUUGUGGCUUUUGCACUUCCGUUAUAUUAAACUGACUUUCUUUACUCACAGUGGGAUUUCAAAUUAAUUCGUAAUUAUACACACAGUGAAGGGAUGAGAAAGAAAUGACCUAAUUACAGACCAAAAAGAUGCCCUACAGCUAUCAUCCAAUUACUCCAGCCAUCAGAGCUCUUAAGCAAAAUGAUGGGUUUAAUCCUCUCUUGGUCACAUGUAGUUGUAAUUUGCCAUUGAAUACUAUAAUUUCACUUUAAAAUAUUCAUUCAUAUAAUAUAAAAAUCUUAGAAUGGAUACAGAUAAUGAGAAUGGGUCAUGAUCACAAAUACCUUCAAGAUUUUGUUCUCGGACAUGGAUUUUCUGGGCAUUGGGUGAAGAAGGAAAUCAUGAGUUCUCUGCUAUGUUUCUAAACAGUACUUAUUAGCUAUAAUUAGGCACAUAGGAGGUUUUUAAAAUAAUGGAAAACCCCAGAAUGCCCAAUAACUGAUGCAAUAUAUUUCCCAAUUUCAACUUUACCUUUUAGAAAGGGAUGAAGAGUUCAUAAAGAGGUACUUGAUAACCUCAGUAAAUGUAAGUAAAAAAGCAGAUUUCUAAUGGGACAUAUCUUCACCUCUGCUCUUUGUGCACUAUUCUCAUUUAUAUUCAUAAUGUUUUCAGUAAAAUAUAACAACAGAAUGGAACCAAUAACUAUGAUAUAAAAAGGGGCAUGGUAUAUAAGAGAUCAGUUUAGAACUAUUUGUUUUUUUCAGUUAAUUGACUACUGAAUAAACUAUUUCGAUAGUAACCCCCAAAAUAUUUUUUCCCUCAGGUUUCUGCAAGCUAAAAAGAAAAAAAAGAACAACCCCCAAACAAAACUGUAAACGAAAUGAAGGAAGUGGAGGCAGCUUCAAGCUUCAGCUUACUGCAGUACCCUCGGAUUUGAUCAGCUUAAUAUGUGACUCUGAGGAUAUGCUGAGUGAAAAGGUAUGGCAACCCCUUUUGUCCUGAAAAAGUAUUUUAUAAAUGACAAAAUGGUUAUCUGAUAUCUGCUUCAGUUUUCAACUUUGUUUUGUUUCAUAUAUUUUUUUGUCAGAAAUACUUCAUCUUAAUUUUUUUGCCCCGCUUUAUACAUGUGCCAGCUGUUGCUGUAGGUUUUGAUCAUGUAUUCUUUACAGAACAACUGAUUUGCUAAUAAGUGGAAAACAGAAUUUGUUAACUUGUCUUCAGAUAGCUGUGCAGGUAGAGGUGCUUAUUUAUUUAUUUACUGGGAGUGAUUUUUAAAGAUCACACUGACUGCCUUAACAUUGCUUCUUCUGAGUAAUGCACUCAUGGAGAAUCACUGUUUUUACUUAUCAUUGUAUUUCACAGACUGGAAAUACACACUUCUGGUAUCUGAGUGGAUGUGGGACAUAGAGUGUUGCUUGAGUAUUUAUUUACUUUGCAUGUAUUGUGUUGGUAAGUUAUUUUGCUCAGUAUGUAGGAUUUAACCAGUGGCAGAUUAAAACUGACAUAUAGGCCAGUAGAUCCUAUGUAGAUGUAAUAUCACAGCAAUUGUUUUAAGUCAUUACUUGGUCCUUUUUUUUUUUUUUUUUUUUUUUUUUUUUUUAUUAUUCUUUUGAUAAAAUUAUCUGGUUAAAAUUUUCGAAUCUUGAGUUAUUCCUCUGGUGGAAUGAUCGAUGGUGGAGUCAUCCCUCUGUGAACCAAACCUGUUUAUUAGAAAGUUCAUUGCCCCAUUUCUCUGAGUAGAAGUGAAAUCAAACAGCCCAAGCCAGUUUCUCACCUCCUAGAACACAGAUACUUUCCAGACAGCACAUUUGCUGUCUCUCCACAGAUGCAGGGAGAUGCAUCCACUUGGCAUGACUGUCCUGUUCCCAGAUGAGACAAGGACUAGGUUUUCAGGCAACAUGAAGAAGGCAAACAUCCAUGCGCCUCUCCUGGCCUGUCUUCAGCCAGAGCGCUCAGCUUUUUAGGGAAGAUAUGGAAGAAUAAAGAAGUACUGUUGUUACAGGAUGCACUCCAGCUGGAAUAAUGAAAGAUCUAUAUGCUGAAAGAGGACGACACUGGAAAGGGAAAAAUUUAUACACUGGAAGAAGCAUGAAGCCAAAAGGAUUUCAGAAAUUAUUCAAAAAACACUAUAAAUUUUAAUACCAAAUAAGAGUUAUGUAAACUUUUGAACCAGCCUAUAAAACUCAAUAGAACAGUAUGACAGCACUAAACGGGUAAUGGAUUCAAUUUCUUGUUAAAGUUUUCUUUUCCCACAAGAAAAUAAAAUGCACCAUUUUGAAAGAUCCUGGAAGAUGAAGUGAUCAGCUGGUUGACCUAAGAUGACAAACUAGUUCCUUUCCACGUAUGAUUUUGAUGCUCUGCAAAUAUCCUAGUAAAUGCUGGCCCCAGAAAGUGGUUCACUCAGUCUGUUACACACUUUGACAGGUUAUAUAGCAGUUAAUAAUUAAGUGAAAGGAAGUUCUGUAUAAAAAAAUCUGCCAUCAUAUACGAAAUAUGUAUGUUCCAACUCUCUAUGUAGAGUCCACUGGUGUGGCUAUAAGUGGUAUCUUUGCUGACCAAUAGCACUGCUGGCAAACUAUCAGGUAAUUGUAAGUAUGUAUUUACCAGAGAAAAAAAGACCGGUUUACGUGCUUCUGUUUGUGAGACACAGUUGUGGCUGUACUGCUCUGCUGUGCUGAGCCCAGAUCCUCUAUCUUGCUGUAGGAUAAGCCUGGUUCUACCUAUAUCUAGGCAGAAAUUUGUUUAAAAGAGUCACAUGAAGAAUCCAUGUUCUUUAGUCAUUUAUAUAGUUUGUCAGAACAAGAUUUAAAUAUUGUCAGUCAUCUUGAAUUAUAACUAGUUUACAGCUUGUGCUCUGAACCCAUCCAUCCUUUUGAUCUUUUUACCUUAAGAAUGCAACUAUGUGGGAAAUAACUUUAAAGUGAAUGAUACACAUCUGACAGACUUUAAGGAAAAAUAAGUAAGAAUUCAGAAACAUUCCAUGUAAAGAAAAAAAAAUGUACCUUUUUAGAAAUGAACUGUUGUGCUCAUUCAUUGCAGAAUUUAAGUAAGAGUAAUGUUUUACCUCCUUCUUAGCAGCAAAGAAGCAACAUCAGAUGAGGGAGACGUAUCUGCACAUUUUUACAUCUCACAAAUAAUCAGCAGGUUAGAGACAAUAAAACAACUUACCUAAAAUAGAAUACUGGAAGGUUUAAGGUGUCUAUGUUGAAACUGUUACUGCGUUCAGUGCCUGCCCAACCAGAGUGUCAUUUAAACAUAACUGUCUUCCAUGUUUGCUCUGAAUCUUUUUGAGAUCACACAGUAUUCUGUUUCUGACCAUUCGCAGAAGGGCUCAGGGUGAAGCGGGCAUGUACCUCUGUCUGACUUAAACAGUCUGGGAAUCCAGAAGAUAAAUGGUAGUGUUAGCUUAUAGCACAGACCUGGAAAGUGCACUCAGACAAACGUAGUAUAUGCCAAUAAAACUGGAAACCUUUCAGAAGGAGACAACUUUUUACAUCUGCUUUGACCUCAGGUAUUUUAAACUCUAAUUUCUGAGGAGGCACACCUUACCCACUGGGUCCCAGGCUAGUCUACAUAGCUGUACAGAUGUGCACUACAACUGCAAAACUCAUUAAGAUUCAAGGAGAUAAAUGAGGAAGGAAACAAUUUUUAUGGAGCAAGCAGGAUUCUGGCCUUUGUCUUUGCCCCACACAGUUUGUAUGUCUAUUUUUCAGUAAAUAGUAGAACUAAGAAUAAUCCUAUGUUCCAUUAUUAACAUCUCAUCUUCAACAGUGGUUAUGUUUUUUUAAAAAAACGGAGCCUUUGAAACAAAAAUUGAAUUACCUUGAUGGUCUGUGGACACUGAGUGGAUGGAAAUAACCACAGUCUUCCACUGUGACAGAGUGCCUCAACUACAUAGGUUGGCAUUAUCUGACUUUCAAAAUUAUGAGUUAGAUUCUAGAUAACUCCAUAAUGUUUCUACUUUGUUAGUCCUCUCACAUAACAUCAUCUGUUCUCUGUAGGUAACAGCUCUCUAAUCUUGGCUUUGGAUUCUACUUUGUGGGCUAGAUGUCUGAAACCAUUGUGAGGGUCUGUGAGCACCUCUACACCUUUCUGGAACAUCCUGUGGGGAACAAGAGUUCUAAUUGAAGCACUUAAGACGUGCUCAGCACUUUUGCUUUAACUACUUUUGUCAUUUGUCUUUCUGGCAUCUCUAGAGUUCAUUGAAAUUUCUCUUGUAAUUCCUGAAAGUUUAAUUUGGACCUCAGUCUCCCCAAGGAAAUAUUGCUAAAGGUCAGAAGUAGGCUUAAAUCAUAAAGUUUCCAGGAGAGGGAAUCUAGGAAUUUCUCUCAGUUCCAUCUUUAACACUGUAGUAGAAGCCAGUGACAACAGGGCUUUGUAUUCCAGAUAUCAGACUGAGAAUGUGGUCUUGGCAUGUUGAAUAAUGUAAUUUGUGUACAUAUAAGCAAAGAAAAUAUUGAUAGUGAAAUAAUUAUGAAUAUAUAAAUGUGAGACAGUAGGAAGCCAUGUUUAAAGGCAUUUUUCAGUUUAUAACCACACUUUUAAGAAUUUCCUGUCUUUUCUUUUAGCCAGACACAUGGGAUUAUUUUAGCGUACUUUUAUUUGUGUGUUGUUUCCUUUACAUUUUUGUUUGAGCAGAAGAGGAUGGGAAUAAAAAUGCAGUCUUCAACAAAGUUUUACAAAGUUUAUGAUUCUAGGCUGUAGUAAUUCCCCUAUGUACACUUAAAACAAUAAUAAAAAUGCAAGCACCAUAUUUUGAAAAGUUAUUAUGACUUAUUAUGUAAACAGAUGAUGAUAAAACAUUCUGAGUUAUUAUUCAAACACAAUACAUCAUAAUUGUUUCUUUGGAGACACUAUAUAUUUCUGUCAUGGGCUUUACUUACAGGAUUCUUUGUAAAACCUUCAUAAAGGUAAUUACUUUGUAUUCCCAUCAUCACAUUUCAAAAAUAGUGAUCUCAGCCUCUGAACAUGUAAACUCUGAAACAAAAGAAGAGUCCUAUUGUCUUCUUGUGUAAACAAAGCUUGUUUACAAGGUUGGGCCUUCCAACACUAAGCCUUACUCUCAAUACACAUGAUUAUACAGGUUUUCUAGAUAUAAAUGUGAACUCACAGAUGGUGGUUUCAGGCCACUUAAUCUUAAUAAGCUAGUUUAUUUGAUGAAAAACUUAGGAGCUGACUUUGUAUUUUUAACAUAUUUAUGGGAAAUGGAGAAUGAGUAUCUGAAGUUGAUAACUUCCCUUUGCAAAUUCUGGUUGAUACACAGGGCUUAACAAAUAUAGGUAGUAUCUUAUUCCACACUGAAUGGAAUAAAAAAUCACUUGUCUUUUGUUAAUAUAAAGUUCAUAAUUAAAUUAUUCUUGAAAUACUGUCAGACAUUUCAGCAAAAGAACAAAAAACAAAAGUUCUAUUUAGUGUGGAUUGGUGUUGUGAUAUACUUAAUAUCUACUUCAACAUUGAAUUAAAAGAUUCAGAAAUCUAUCAUAAUAUGCUUCAAAAAAAGAUCAAAGACAAUGAAUAAAGUUGGCAGAAUAUGUUUGCUUUUACAUGGAAAUUACUGAAAUAAAAGAUUAAAAUAUGUAUUGAUAUUUACUAGCACUAUUUUCCACUGAAGUAAAUGGGUAAACUCUUGGGCUUGAUAUUUCUAAGCCCUUGCUGGUUUGAUACUCCAUGUCUUCUUACUUGCAUUGAUACAAAUAUAGGAAGUACCUAUAGAUUGCAUAAAUGUUGAUCAUAAGUGUUGUUUCAGGAUGAAAUGUAUUGUCUGUUUCUGUGAAGCUAAUGGCUUUUUGGUCACACAGCUUAAAGUGAUGUGAAGAUUGUCAUGUUUGUCAUGAAGAUUGUCAAGUUUGUCAUUACUUCUGAACUCCCAAAAUAAAUUGAAAUAAAUAAAGGUUUUUCUUCUAAAUCAGAGGAUGGUUCUUACUUAUUUAGUAUGAUGAUCUGUAAAAUGUCAUCAAAUGCACUGUAAAGAGAGGGAAUUGAUGGCAAAUCCUUACUAAGAUGUUGCAAAGUAAGUAGGAGGGAAGGAUCCUUGUGUUUAGAAGGACAGUUUUUUAUUUACACGCACACGUAUAUGUUUUGAGGUUACUAAAGAACACCCAGCUAUAUCUUCAACUUCAGUUAGCAGGAGUUUCUAUUACAUUUUAACACAGGAUGGGUGAGAAAAUGUUUCAUUUUAUACGCAUGUGUAUACACACAGACAUUCCAAAAGACACAAACCAUUUCAGAAAUGACAGUUUCCUCGCUGUCCAAUUAGGUGAAUUGAAUGUGAUUAUGUUGUAGUUCUCAGGGCUCUAAUUGCACAUAAAAACUUCCAAAUCACAACACGUGGUAUUUCCAUCCAAAACAAAGGGAGAAUUAUUAAAAUGUGGUGGGAUUUCAUGUAACACUGGCAGACAGCUUAGAUGGCAAUAAUUUAACACUUGCACCAUGAAAUUAAAAUUUACGUUCACUCUGUGCAAUUCUUCAGACCAGCAGCAGACAGUUGUAUUUUUUUUAAUGAGAGCAGGGAGAUUUAAUUACUUGAAUUUAACUAGAAAAACCUUUCCAUUGCUUGAUGACAGAGGCAAUAAUAUUGGCACAGAUUUGCAGAUGCUUUUUGAGCCUGCUUUCCAUAUUCUCCAUAGCUCUGCUUUGCAGCAUCCAUGUUUCUGAAGGCCAUGAACAACCACAUAGAUUCUUCCACAGAUUCGGAGCAAUGCAUGCAAAUUCCAGCUGCCCAUAAAUCAUUGUCUGAAAGGCAAAUGUUAUGGCUGCUAUAAGCAUUUCAAGUAAGUUCCAAAACUUUCAGCAUUGUGUCUUUCUGAACAGAAUUUGUACAAAUUAUACUACUAUGUCUUCUCAAAAAUCCUUCUCUUUUGCAACAAUUCCUUCUGUAAUGCAUUAUUGUCAAUGUAACGAAUGCUAAAGAAUUGAGCUGUAACUCACCAAACACAAACUACAAAAAUACAUUUGUUUUUUAUUGCCAUGAGGUCUGGUAGAAUAGAAUUACCAAGUUUUCUUUUAUACAGAAACAUAUAUUUUCCAGACAGUUUAGAGAAAAUUGAAGCUAGAAUGCUAUCCUAAGGCUACAUGUAAGUCUAAGUUGAGGUUCAUAUAAGUACUUAAGAUAAACAUUUUCUAUACUCAGUUAGACCACGAUAUAAAGAGAGGGAUGAAUGGCAGAUGAGCAUUGCUCUGUGCAAGUUGGUUCAACAGCAAAGGUAAGAACAGCAGAUGUGUACUGGAGAUCAGGAAGACUACUAUUGUGUGAGUACUGUAAUAAGGCUAAAAUCAGAAAAGAUUAUUAUUAUUUUUAAAAAGAUUUCUCAGUGAAUUUGGGCAUUUGUUUCCUUUAAGAAAGAGUAAACUAUAGACACGUCUGAUUUCAUUGUCUCAGCAGUACAGGGACACGGUACUACAGCCCAGGAAUACAUCAUCCCUUUAACAUUUGCAUGAUGCUUCUGAAAAAGUAAUGGAAAUUAUCUGCAUUGUUUUAUGUUUUAUAAUCAACCACUGAUCUCAGUUUAAGGACUAAGCAAACAACUCUCAGGGAUAGGAGAGAACGGAGGAAAAGGAGAUACCCUCCUACAACCCACCUUUUAAUAUUUAUGCUUGAAAUGGAAAAUACAGAUGUUGCAGAAGUACACAUCUGGGACAUUGUUUCCAUAUUUUUGACAGAGAAUAAUUUUCACUGCUUUUCAUCCAAGUGGCUUAAAAUCAAUGUUUUUGUUCAAAAUAAAAUUGCAUGAAUACUUUUGCUGAUCUUGCAAUCUGUACUGUUGUACUUAUUUCUUUUCUCCCCAGAAGCUUUGUAGGAUUCUUGUCUGGUUUAUAGGGUUUAGGCUGUUUUCUCCUUUCACCACUGUUCCAGUGCUCCAUUUGCAAAGUGUUUAGAUUACAGCAGACGCGAACUUCCUCUGUCUCAGAGCCAGCAAUGAAUCAGGCUGAGAGCUGGGACCACUGGCUGUCAGAGGACCCUGAAAAGCUGCAGCUUUAAAAUAACAAGUAUUUGACAGCUCAGUUUACAAAGCUGCAGAUUGUAGUUAUAUUGUGCUAUGGGGCUACAUAUGACAUAAUAACUUGGGACUUAAAGUUAUUUAGUCUCUUUCCUCUCACCGUAAUUUCCAGUAAAUAAAUCUCUCUGGGACAGGAGGUCUGUUGAGUUGUACAAUGCUUGCAUUUUCUUCACCACAGCUUGUCCUCUCUCUUUCCUAUUUUAUACGUUAAAAAACCUCAGUGUCUGGUAAUCGCAUUUCUAUAACACUUCCUGUUGAAAGAGACAGACUAAUAUAAAUACAUACAGUGUGUAUUUUUAAAUUUUUAUUAGUCAAGGUAUUCAUUGCAAGUCUUCCUAUCAAAAUCUCUUCAGAAAAUCCUUUAUGGACAGAGCUUAAUGCUGUGUAGUUGGAGUGGAACAUGGGCAAACUUUUAAAAUGCUUUAAAUGGUGCUUUAGAAAAAGAGCUGCGCUCACAAGAUUAUUGUGAGUUGUAUUUUACAAAAUUAGCCGACAGAGGUUCCAUCAAUAUAGAUUCACCUGAACUGAAAAAAACAGAACUGAAUAAAACGUGGCAACUGGAAUGCUUGUUUUUCUCCAAAAAUAAGAUAUUGUAGAAUGAAGGAAACAGUGUCUUUACAUUAACACAUUUGCUCUAAGAGAACUAGCUAUUUUUGCUGCAGUCCCUUUCCAGUAACAAAAUGGUAAGAAGUGCCAAUGUUUUCCUGAUUUAAUUUUCCUUUUACUAAUAUUUAGGCUUUCAAAGAAGCCCAAGGGAUAUGGUUGCUCAGUUUACACUAGACAUUCAAAUCUCCUUGCUUUUGAAAUCCCAUGUCUAAUUUCAACUUUUUUUAAUUAUUAUUUUUUUUUAAAGGUCUUAAUUCUUCAGAGUCUCUUUACACUAUUUUUGUUGUAACUCUAAAAAAGGUUUAUUAAGGUUUGGGGAUGUAUUUUACAGGUAAGAUUGCAGAAGACUUAAAAAUCUUUAUCCUUGCAGGUUUUUUUGUGUUUUUUUUUUCUUCUUUGGAAUAUAGGACACUAGAUACAAUGGACUACAACAGUCAAUAAAUGUUGUAUAAAUGUUGUAUUGUAUAGUACAUGCAUGGAUUCCUUGUAACAUCAGCUUUCUUCAGUUGAGUUCAUCAUCUUAGGCUCCAUCUGAAGUCUCUGCAGACUUGAUUAGGGUAUGGUUUCUCUGGCCUAUUUUAAGUGUUUACUUUAGAAUGAUAUGAAUCACAAUCUGAACUACUGAGUAGAUUUCCACUGUCUGUCAAGAGAACCCAGUGUUGACAUCUACAUCAAAUCAGAUUAUUUCUACUCUUAAAGCUGAACUAUUCUUAAAGUCUAGGAGAAUCUCUAGCCUUGAGUUGAGCAGUUCUGGUUCUCAUUGCCACCAACGUCAAAAUGAACACUGUCUCGAUGUAUUGAUGCUUUUCAGAAGAAUCACAGUGAAACAUAACAUUUAGGCACCAUUCCUAACAUUUCUGGAGCUGAUAUCAGGUAGGAAAAUGUGACUACAGAUACUGAAGGUUAUGAAUAAAAUAGAUGGGUUUGUUCACUGUCUACAAAGGAUAGUGGUACAGAUAGAUCUUUCAGAUUUAGUAAAUGUGGAAGGUAAUGAUUAUGUGAAGACAGACAGUUUAGUUGACUUGGGUUUCUGAAUCCAAUAAGUGACUAAAAACUAAAAAUGUGACUAAAUGUAAGUAUUUGAACUUGGGUGUAAUCUGCCUAUACUUGAGAUUCAUUACCUGUAUCAUAAGCAGAUAAAUAACAUUUACCUUUAUUUUUGAAGUCCAAUAAUAGCUGUUAUACUCUGAAAUGGUAGUACUAGAUUAUAAUUGACUAAUCUGUAUUGAAUAAAGUAAAAAAAACACUGAAGGCAAAAGGAAAGAAAUUAGUUUCUAACAGUUCUUUUUUUAUUGUGUGUCUUAUUUAGAAUCAGAUUAUUUUCAGAAUACUGAAACAUGUCUUUCUCUGUCUGUCCAAAACAUGUAUUAGUUUUUGCAUAUUUUUUUAUAGUGAAAUAUUGCUUUGUUUUGCUAGCUUUACAUUUGGGAAUGUGGUUUUAAAAAUAAUUCUUCGUAUUCAUUUGGAGAGAAAUAAUCUAUAAAUAUACCUAUGCACUCACAGGGUUUAGCACUUGACAGUUUUAUUAAAAACAACAAGUACACACAGUCUUAGCAUUGUUUCUAAAAUGUUGCUAAUCCUUGGCUGUGAAAUAUCAGAAAAGUGAAAUGAGACAUCGGGGUUUCAGUUUGCCAAAUGUGAGAGGUUAUUAAAACAAUUUUUUCCCGUACAACAUAUUUAUGAAAAAAUGUACACAAAGAAUAAAAAGUCAGAAAAAAAUGGCACAUUUAGCAAUAACUGCAAAAGAAAUUCAUUUCUUAUGAACUUGCAAGGUUGUUCUAUUUCCUGUUUUUUUUCCCAACCACUAUUACAAGAAAAGGAUUGUUACUUCUCACAAAAUUAUUUUGCAGAUCUUUCAUACUAAAAGAUUUAACUUGAAAAUGAACAGCAAUACAGUAAUUGGAAUUUAUUUAGUUAGGUUUUUCUUGCCUAAAUCAGUUCAUCUAAAAAUAGGGCUUCUAGAUCAAACUAGUCAACUGGCUUUUCUCUCAAUCAGUGUGAGAGACAGACGCCGCAAGAACAGCACAUCUUCUUGGUCCUUGAUACUUCCACAGAGAUGUAAUCACAAGUAUUCUGAGUCACACAGUUUGGUUCAGAAAACCCAACCAUUCACUGACAAGUGGUGGAAGUAACAAUAAUUCCUGGAAAACUAAAACCCCUCUAAAUAGUAACUCUAUUGAAUUUUCAACUAAGAGAUUAAGUACUGAUCCUAACAGUCACUGGAUGCUUUCCCUCCUCCUCAGAAGCUCACUUGUCAGUGAUUUAACUUUCCACAGUGGCUAUCUUUAUGAACUGAAUCUAAAUGGCCCUUCUGAUGUUUUAUUUUUUUCCAGGAAUUAGUUUGAUCUAUGCCUACUGUCAUUAUGUCUACUGCUUUUAAUUUAUAAAAAGAAGCAAACAAUCCUGAAGACCAUGUUUUAAGAAAAGGCGAGCCAUCCUUCAUCUGUUUCUUUUGUUAGUGAGAAUAAAUUACUGUUAAAGUAUUUUUUUUAAAUGAAGUAUAAUAGUAUAACAUACUUUCCUAUUAUGUGGUUCAUAGGAGCAGCUGCACUUGAAAAGACAAAAAACAAAAGAUUUUGGGAAAAGUAAAAUCAGGAGAAAAUAAUGCAGAUAUAAAAAAUUUGUUAACUUUUUCUUCCAUAAAACAGCUUUGAAAGCAUAGAAAGAGAUGGGUUAGAUUUCUGCUGAAUUCAUUAACCUUGAGAAUAUCCAUAGAAGUCGUAGGAUAGGUUACCCAGGACACUGAACUGGGACUCAAAUUUUUCCCAGGAUAAAGCUUUUUCCAGCAUUUAUAGCAUGAUGUCAAUGCAAAGCUUUUCCCAAACUUCCUGGAACAGUUACAGGCAAAUCACUGGAGACACAAAAAAUAUCUGGGGCCUCAGCCAGCAACAUUCCUCUAUGAGUACUGGUAUCUCAAUUUGCUCUUUAUUUUCUUAAUUGGCAUUAUGCAAUUUUGAAGAUUUACAGCCAGCUAGACUAUGAAAAAUGGAAUAGAAAAGCCAGAGCUGAAAGUGACAGCAAUCAUUUUACCACAUAGUAGACAUAGUUUUUUUCUACAAACUCAACUAGUUUACAACAAAAUCUCCCCUUUAAUCUUCUGUGAUGUUGCAAAAGUCAUCAGCCUCCCAGAUUAUAUCUUAUCUGUGGCUCGUAUAAUGAAUGUUUUAAUCCACUGGAGCAACAGAAUAAACCAUAAUUAUAUGUAUUUUAGGCUGAGGGUAUGUUUCCUUAAAAAUGUAUCCUAUUUUUGCAUUAAAAUCUCAGCUUCUUAAAACAAACAAUCCAUAGACUCUAUGAUCAUUACUCUACAUUUUAUGUAUGUUGUCAAACCUUCCAAUAGCAUUUUAAAGUACCUCAAAGUACUGCUGUUGUGAAACUUGUAGAUAAUCUAUGUAAUCAUGGACAUCUGACUCCUAAAAGGAAGGUUAUAAAAGGCACAGAGGGCAGUUAAGCAUGUAAUUGCCUUGAGAAAUAAUGGGAAUUGGGCAUCUAACUCUCCUCUGUACCUCAAAAAAUGUCCCCUACACAGAGUGGAGAGUCUGUGGUCAUGGAGAAUUCACCAAGAGAAUGGAAUAACCUUCUUUGGAGAACUUUGACCUUGAAAACAUCAGCAUCUUCUCAGCAAGUAUCACAAAAACAAGGAGGAAGAAGGUGUUCAGAUUUAGCCUCCUGUGAGCAAUUCCUUGACUACUUUCCUGCACUUUCUGUCCUUGAUAUUAUCAGUCAUAAGCAGUGGUCUCUAAAAGUGCAGUCUGGGAAAUUUCCUUCAACAUUAAAAUAUUAGUCAUUCCGGGUGUAGUCAGUCCCACACUUCUGCUGAUAAUUUAUUUCAGUUUUGUUUCAGAAUAUAAUGUUUCCAACAGCUACGUCUAUGGCGAGACCUGGGUCUGAUCCCUUAGCUGUCUUCCCUCAGCUUGUUUGUUGGCUGCACUGGAGAGUGACUGUACAGUUGGCUCUAGUGUGGCUGCUGUCAGACUGUCUCUUGAAAGGAGCAGAGCUUCAAUCCUAUCCCUUGGAAAACUUCAGCUAAUAGUGUAUUAGCAACAACGUGUUCUUUCAUUUUUCAUGAAAAAAUGUUCAGGUUUAGCUUAUCUCUGGAUCACUGCAGAGGAUGCCUUGAAAGCCUGAAGAUUUUUCUAACUAAACUGAAAAGCUGAAAUCCAUAGUAUAAAUUUCAGGACUGUGCUACCAUUUACGAAUGUGUCCUUUCUUUCAUCUCAAAAUUGCAAUCUUUGCAUAGACAGUAGCAUCAUCUUGAAGAAAGAUACCGCACAUAAGUAUUCAUAACAUUGUUUUUUCUUGUGUGCUACAAAACUGUCAUAUACUCGGAGACAAGGAAUAAUAAUCCACCGUAUGAGAUAGUCUGUGCGCACAAAACAAAAAACGAAACAAACAAAAAAAAAACCCAACCAACUAAAAAAAAGGAAGGCCUUGAUAAACUCAACAAAGCUUACUAAAAUCAUAAAUAAAGAAAAUGUCUUGUAGGGACAACUUCUGCCCUCAUUUAGAAACAGUGAAUUCAUUGUGAUUGGUUACCAAAUUUGGCCUUAGAAACAGACCAUGUAUUUUGUCUGUAUAUGUCUGGCUUAUGUAUUUUAACUGUGUUUACUUGACCAUAAAGGCAGAGAAGUCUCCCUCUUGAACUCAGUGGAAGUGUUGGCUCUGACCUCUUACAGAAAAGAAAGAGACCAAAAAUGGUGAUUGUUUUCUUUCUUGAAUUGUUAUUAUUUCUAACUUGAAUUGUGAUUCUUAACUACCCUAAGUUGGCCUACAUACACUUUUUUUUUUUUUUUUUUUUUUUUUUGGGAAGGAGAAAGCUUGCAAGGUCCACAAAUUAAUUAGACUACUAUGAAUGUUGAUGGAAAUGUAAAUCUAGAGAAGUCAAUACACUCUGCAACUUAGUCUCUCCUUUUUUUUUCAUCUACAAACCUUUCACAACAGAAAAUUGGGAUUUGAAAUAAAACAACAUGCAAGUGACAGGAAAAAUAACCCAACAAAACAUCUGUGGCAAAAAGCAGAAAUAUAGGUAAAAACAAAAGAGAACAUAUAAGCAAGGUGCUACGAGUGAAAAUGAGAGAAGGAGCUGGAAUAUAUGAUGAAAUAUCCAGCCAUUGCUUUUAAAACCAAGCAUUUUUCAUUCUUUCCAAAUCUGCAUACUUAAUGAAGGGAAUUCUCUAGACAGAGGACAAACUAUGAAGAUUGUUAAUGAAAAAAUUAGGGACAGUUGGGAGCUAAACCUGCUGUAUUAUUGCUUCACUGCUCUCAGCCUGCAGCAGUUGGAUUCAAACAAUUCUCUGCACCAAAACAGCUAACAGUUGAAGGGAUGCUCUUCCCUCUUUCUCUCCUGUUGUCAACAGAAAAGUCAGUUGUAAAUUUAUCAAAUGUGGGUGAGAGAGAAAGAAAAGUUUUCAUGAUUUCUAGGCUGACUUAUGGAUGACUAAACUGGGUGUCUUUUUUGUUUUUAGCAGAAAAACAUAGUGGCUGAUAAAUAGUAUCUUAGAGUUAGGACUUUUGCUUUGAGUGCCUCCUCCAGUGCAAAGCUUCGCAAAAACGCCAGUGUGUGAAGCAGCACAUUAGUAAUUUUGUAAAAGGGUAAAGUUCUGUGGAAAAUGAGAUAGAGAAUGAACUGAACAUUGCUGAUUUCAAACGAGUAUAUGAUGUGGCAGUGUCUCUGAAGACUGGGAGAAAUGUAAUCUGACAGUUCCUACAUCUUAGUAAUGGCAAGUAUCCCGUCACAGAAUGCAGAGGAGAGAAAAAAAAUGUUAUUGUGCUUUAACUUGCCACUUGUGAUGACACGAACAUCACACAUUCUGACAUCUGCUAGAUGUGUCUAGAUCCAUGAGUGAGUAAUUCAUUAAAAAAAAAAAUAAAAAGCUCAAUUUUUUUUUCUUUUUUCUUUCAAUGACUCAUCCACAUGCUUAACAGAAUGUUCUGGAUGAGCAUUUACUUUUUCCUUUUUUUUUCCAAUGAUCACAAGCAUUAUUAUUAAAAUUACAGUUACUAGGAGAAUAUUAGUAAUUAUACAGACACAUCUUCUGUGAAUAUUCUAUGAAAUUCAAAUACAAUAUAAAUUUGGGCUUCUUACCAUUGUUGAAUGUCCACUUGUUCUGAAGUCAGAAAGUAAACAUGGUAAGAUCUAGUCUAUCCCUAUGUACAACAUCUCACGUAAGCUUUUUUCCCACAGAUGUUUCACUAAGAUGAUGAUGUUUCCUCUGUGGUUGUAGCAUAUGUUUUAGAAAGACAUGAUGCCUUGAUGACAAGAAAAGUAGAAGAGCAAAACAAUUACAAGCACUAUCUUACCUUGGAGGGGCUUCUCUCCAGGUUUACAUUCUUGUGUUCAUAAGGCCAGAGACACCUCCUGUCUGGAAAGUUCAGGCUACAAAGCGGCUUGAGUGGCAAGAGGGUUGUUUGGGAACAAACCUCCCAAUGACAUUUGUGAUCUCAGUUAGCAUUUAAAUUAAGAAGCACACAGGACUAAAGCCAAUGUAUAAACCCACAAGACAAAGAGGCCUGCACUUAAAUCACUUUAUAAGUGAGUAAUGCUCUCUAGUGAGUAAAGCUCCAGAGAAAGAACAGACAACAGACAUUGGCCGAGCAGAGGGCUUUGCAGGGUAUACUUUCCCUUUAGGACAUUCAGUACAUCUUGCACUUUUAUCUUUAUCAUCUACAAGUUUCCUCUUUCCAUUUCUUGGUAGCACAGAACAUUUCGUAUCCGUCCCCAAGAGAGCUCCUUUCCUUGUUAUUACUUCAACUUACAAAUAUGAAAUGAAUGUUGCCCAAAUACUUUCAUGUGCUGAGUUACAUUGAACUUCCAGUGAAUCUUGGUAUGUGUGGGAGGAGAUAAUUCCAUUGUUUGCAGGAGAAAGUAUUUUGGUAGCAUUGAGGAGUCAGAGUUGAUUCUUCAGCAUAAUUUAAACUGGUGUCAGCUGCAGGUCAAGACACAUAUACGAUUUUCUUAAAUCAUACUAAUUCUACAUUGCUAUUUUAUCCCUUGUGCUGUGACCACAAAUUCGGAGUAGGUUUUAGACAUUGCUAACGCUGGCAUACCUAUGCCUUCCUUAUACUGUGAUGUUUUAUUGUCCCCUGAUUUAGGCCUGCAUUCAAAUUGUUAUCUACUGUCAACUGUUCUCCUUUGCAUAAAUAUCAAAAGAUUGUGGCAAAUUUCUUUGUAGGAUCAUACCUAUCCUCAAAACAAAAUAAAAAAGUAUGUGGAACUAUUUCUUUGACUGAGGAUCUCUGAAUUAAUCUCUUACUCACUAUCUUCUCUGUCCAUUGUUUGCACUGAUUGUCCUGCAUGUAUGCAUUUUUGGAAGGUAAACAGAUUUUUGUCAAAAUAACUUAUCAACCCUUAUUCUAAGACUGGAUGUUCUGAAUAGAGUUCUGAACUUAUCUAAGCCAUAUCACAUAAGAAUAUGUGCCAUAAAAUACUUUAGCACCUAAAUCAUGCCUUCUGUUCAAUAGUUUUGUUGCAUGAAAUAUUAUGGGAUCCAGUUGUUCACAAUGUUGCUGCAAGAAUCUUUGUGGUUCAACCAAGCAUAAAGAACACAGGCACUUUGUGAUGAACUACAGUGAACAAACUUCUAAUCAGAAAUUUUGUGCUGCCAGUCCCAUAAAGCACUAAGCAUAUGAUAAAUAUAAUGGAACAAGCAAAGAACCGAGAAUUGCUGCAAUUUUCAAGCCUGCUGCCUGUGUGCCUGUACUUUGGAAAAUAUUGUUUCAUUUUUUAAUUUUUAGGUAAAUACUGAUAGAAAUAUCUGAAUUUGUACUUUGUCUCCUUCAGCCUGACUUGCACUACCAUACUCUUUUGCACACAAAACUCAACAUUUUCUGAGGGUAUUUGCAACCUCAGGCUUACACUACAGACAAACUUUAACCUUUAUUUUAGCUGAAAACGGUGUCUAAAUUCAUGGCUCCUUACAUUUCUGCAGUAUGUUUCACAGGUUUAAAUUAUGCACAUAGGAAGUAAUAAGUGUUUUUCACCCACCUUUUCCACUGAGAGGAUAAACUCAGACACUGACUGUGUUGACAGUAUUUCCUUCCUGGGGAAAUCUGUAUGUGAGCAUAUUAUUACUCAAAUGUCUAUCUUAACACUUACCCUGUUUCAUCUUUGUAUCGGUCUACAAGUAUUAUAACUUAUCCUAUUGCCUUGACAGUCUAAGAUGAUGAUAGUCCUGUCUUGAAUCUAUCUCAAGACCCACUGGCAGUUAGAAAUAUAUUUGUAUUCAGACAAGUUAGUAAUGAGCAGCGUGGAGAUUACUCAAAGUGACCAAAUUCCUCAGCACAGUAGAUAUAAGAACAGGUAAUUGGGGAAACCAGCUCAUUAUUAUGUACAAGCAGCAUAUCUGCUUCAGAUUACCUGCAAGAUGAUGAUUUAUACAAUAGGAAAGUAUUUACCUGAAAACAAUGAUCUCAUCAAGUAAUAGUCCUCCGUUGAUUCAAGGAAAAUUCUGUUGCAAUUGUGUCCUGCAGAAGUGGUAAGGGAGACAGUCCAGAAAAAUUCAGAUCCAGGAGUGAAGAUCACCACCAAAAAGAACCCUCUAGGUAUUCCUUCAGACAUGACUAUCUGCAGUAUUGCUUCAUAGUUUUCAAGUUUUACCUUAUUUACAUUACCAUUUGCAAUGGAUUUUUUUUUCUUUUUUAGCAUUACUUUUUGCUCAAACUCCUCCUUCAUGACCCCUUUUCUCUCCUACAUGUUACUUGAUUUUAUAUGGCUCUUACACAGCUGUAACAAAAGAGAGUUGAUAUUUAAAUACUUUUGGAAAGCAUGUCAUUUUCCUAUCCAUCUGCUACUUCCCAGUGGGCCUGCUAAGCUGCCUUCCUGACUUACAGAGGCU